rnacentral:rRNA from 1 species
UACGUAGGUCCCGAGCGUUGCCCGGAUUUAUUGGGCGUAAAGCGAGCGCAGGUGGUUUAUUAAGUCUGGUGUAAAAGGCAUUGGCUCAACCAUUGUAUGCAUUGGAAACUGGUAGACUUGAGUGCAGGAGAGGAGAGUGGAAUUCCAUGUGUAGCGGUGAAAUGCGUAGAUAUAUGGAGGAACACCGGUGGCGAAAGCGGCUCUCUGGCCUGUAACUGACACUGAGGCUCGAAAGCGUGGGGAGCAAACAGG